GUAGGUGAACCUGCGGAAGGAUCAUUAACACGUGAAAACGUAUUAACCAAUCAACCUUUCAACAACCUGUGAAUCGCACCCCUACCUAAUUCAACGAUGUUGUCCGUAUAUGAUAUGUAGUAGGAUAGAGCUUGCUCUAUGCAAUCGUAUCGGUACUAAGGUUUCGAACCUAAGGCACGCUGAAUCAGGCUUUACUUUUUUCGCCUACUACAAAAAAAUAAACAAACCUUUUUCACCCCAUUAAAAACGAAUUUUGACUGAUGUAUGUUGAUAGCAGAAAUGCUUGAUCAACACCAUUUAUUCUAAACUAAGCACAACUCUUAGCAAUGGAUAUCUUGGUUCUC
rnacentral:misc_RNA from 1 species